UACCGCAUAACCCGCUAGUAUCGCAUGAUACGGACGGAAAAGAUUUAUCGGUAUGAGAUGGACCCGCGUCUGAUUAGCCAGUUGGCAGGGUAACGGCCUACCAAAGCAACGAUCAGUAGCCGGCCUGAGAGGGUGAACGGCCACAUUGGGACUGAGACACGGCCCAAACUCCUACGGGAGGCAGCAGUGGGGAAUAUUGCACAAUGGGGGAAACCCUGAUGCAGCGACGCCGCGUGAGUGAGGAAGUAUUUCGGUAUGUAAAGCUCUAUCAGCAGGGAAGAAAAUGACGGUACCUGACUAAGAAGCCCCGGCUAACUACGUGCCAGCAGCCGCGGUAAUACGUAGGGGGCAAGCGUUAUCCGGAUUUACUGGGUGUAAAGGGAGCGUAGACGGUUAAUCAAGUCAGAAGUGAAAACCCAGGGCUCAACCUUGGGACUGCUUUUGAAACUGAGUAGCUAGAGUGCAGGAGAGGUAAGCGGAAUUCCUAGUGUAGCGGUGAAAUGCGUAGAUAUUAGGAGGAACACCAGUGGCGAAGGCGGCUUACUGGACUGUAACUGACGUUGAGGCUCGAAAGCGUGGGGAGCAAACAGGAUUAGAUACCCUGGUAGUCCACGCCGUAAACGAC
rnacentral:rRNA from 1 species